UGUUCAGUGUCCGCGUCUCCUCGCGAGAGUCGGGUCGGCCUGCGGCCCCGGCGCCCGGCGCUCGGCGCGGACCCGCCGGGUUUCGGGCUCGGCCGCGUGGACGCCCCGCUUGGCGCCGCUCCCUCCCCGGCCUCGGCAGCGUUCCGGAGCUCGCCGUCCUCUGCUCUGCAGGACAAGCCCUGCUCCCCACCUGGCCCUGUCCUCCUCAGUCCUGUCCUCCCCACCUGGCCCUGUCCUCCCCACCUGGCCUUGUCCUCCUCAGUCAAGUCCUUCUUCACCUGGGCGAGUCCUCACUCGAUCCUUUCCUCGCCCAGCCAUGUCCUCUUACCUGCCCUGUUCUUACCCCACCUUGGCCUGCUACCUGGGACCUCAGGCAGAGCCUGGGAGCAGAGGACAGACUAUCAGCAGGCAUGGCAGAGGGCAGCGGUGGUGCUGGGACAAGAAGAGGCAUAACAGGAUUGACUUCUAAAGACUCACGUUACCUGAGGAAGCAGCCCUGGAGGGGGAGGAAAGAAAAGGAGUCAGGAAUGGCUGUCACUGAGGGUCUGCUGACAUUCAGGGAUGUGGCCAUUGAAUUCUCCCAGGAGGAGUGGAAGUGCCUGGUUCCUGCCCAGAGGGAGCUGUACAGGGAGGUGAUGUUGGAGACCUACAGGAACCUGGUCUCCCUGGGAAUGUGUCCUUUAGACCUGAGUGUCCUGUCCUUGUUGGAGCAAGAGAGGGAGCCCUGUCCUGUGGAUGGCCAACUGGAAAUAUCCAGCACAGCAAAUGGGUGGGCAUUUGUGGCAGGUGUCAAUACAGACAUUGCUCCUAAAUACGCCAUCAAGGAAUUUCCACCAAAAUGGAGCAGCAUUACAGGAGGAAUAGUCCACACAGUAACACUGCAAACACGUGAAAGCCAUGCCCUUGAGGGAUCAUGCUUUAGGGAAACCCAGAAAAGUACAUGGGACUUGUGUUUUUGGAACAAUGUCAGAAGACAUUACACAGGAUUUCCUCUCACUCCAAAGGAACGUCCCCCUGGAUACAGAGGUGAACAUGGAGGAAGGGAUUCAGGGAAGACACUCAACAACAGUUGUCUUGGAUUGAGCUUUCAGUCUCAUCUGCCAGAACCGCAGACCUUUCAAGAUGAAGGGAACUUUCAUAAAUGGAAUGAUAGUGAGCACACUAUCAACAGUGUUUCCUUGUUUCCCGCCCACCAAAGAAUUCCUUCUAGUGUCAAAGCAAGCGUUUCUCAUAAAUGUGAACAUGAUUUCAUAGAUUCUUUUCUAUUUGGACAAGAACAGGAAACAGACAUUCCUCCAGCAACCCAGGAGUGUAAUGAGUUUGGAAUAUCCUUUAAUCAAGGCUCGCACUGUACUAGACAUCAGACAGUCCAUACUGGAGAGAAACGAUUUAUGUGUGAAGUAUGUGGCAAGGUCUUCAACCAAAAAUCAAAACUUACACGUCAUUGUAGAAUUCAUACUGGAGAGAAACCUUACAAAUGUAACGAGUGUGGGAAGGUCUUCAAUCACAGUUCACACCUUGCACAACAUCGCAGAAUCCACACUGGAGAGAAACCUUUCAGAUGUGAUGAGUGUGGCAAGGUCUUCAGUCAAAAAUCCUACCUAGCAAACCACCGGAGAAUUCACACUGGGGAGAAACCUUACAAGUGUGAUGCAUGUGGCAAGGGCUUCAGUCAGAUUUCACACCUGGCAAGUCAUCGUAGAAUCCAUACUGGAGAGAAACCUUUCAAAUGUGAUGAAUGUGGAAAGGUCUUCCACCAGAUUUCACACCUUGCACAACAUCGAACAAUUCAUACAGGAGAGAAACCUUUCAAAUGUAAUGAGUGUGGCAAAGUCUUCAGUCGUAACUCAUACCUCAUUCACCAUCUGAUAAUCCACUCUGGAGAAAAACCAUACAAGUGCAAUGAGUGUGGCAAGGUCUUCAAUCAAAAAUCAAUCCUUACAAGUCAUUGUAGAAUUCAUACUGGAGAGAAACCUUACAAAUGUGAUGAAUGUGGGAAGGUCUUCAAUCAGAUUUCACACCUUGCAGAACAUAGAAGAAUUCACACUGGAGAGAAACCUUACAAGUGCAAUGAGUGUGGUAGUGUUUUCAGUCAGAAGUCAUCCCUUGCAAAUCAUCAGAGAAUCCACACUGGAGAGAAACCUUUCAAAUGCAGUGAGUGUGGCAAGGUCUUCAGUCGCAACUCAUACCUAGCAGAACAUCUGAUCAUUCAUACUGGGGAGAAGCCUUGCAGAUGCAAUGAAUGUGGAAAAGUCUUCAGUCAAAAUUCACAUCUUGCAUGUCAUCGCAGAAUCCAUACUGGGGAGAAACCUUACAAAUGUGAUGAUUGUGGCAAGGUCUUCAGUCUGAAUUCAUCCCUAGCACAUCACCGAAGGAUCCAUACUGGGGAGAAACCUUACAAAUGCAGUGAUUGUGGCAAGGUUUUCAGUCAAAAUUCACAUCUUGCAUGUCAUCGCAGAAUCCAUACUGGGGAGAAACCUUACAAAUGUAAUGACUGUGGCAAGGUUUUCAGUCAAAAGUCACAUCUUGCAUGUCAUCGCAGAAUCCAUACUGGGGAGAAACCUUACAAAUGCAAUGAAUGUGGCAAGGUCUUCAGUCUGAAUUCAUCCCUAGCACAUCACCAGAGGAUCCAUACUGGAGAGAAGCCUUAGAUGUGUAAUCACUGUGCACAGAAGGUGUGGGACUUUUGUAAUUCCAGCUACUUUGGAAAGUGGUGGGCGAAUGACAAGUACAAUUCGUGCCUGGGCAACUUGGGGAGAUUGUCUCAAAACAAAGGGCUGGGGAUGUAGGUCAGUGGUAGAAUGAUCGCCUAGCAUAUUUCAGUCCCUGGAUUCAAGUCCCAAGCCAGAAGAAAACAAUGUAACAAAUGCAUUGAGAUCUUCAGUCAAAUUGGUGUCUUGCAUAACAGAAUUCAUGGUGGAGAGAAGCCCUGUGGAUGUGAUGAGUGGCAAAGACUAGAGUGCAUCUGGCCUGACAGAUUAUGUGAUCCACACUAAGUGGCGAGGCGUUCACUGACAUCUCCUACCAUGCAAAUUGUCAAGACUUUAUCCUAGAGAAAAAAACCACAGAUGAAUUAGGCAAAGUCUCAGUCAGCAUUCAAGCCCUGCAAGACCACUGAGAGUUCCUAGUGGAGAAAUUAUCUUCCAUGAUCAAGAAAUAUGCAGACCCUUUAGGCCUCAUUUAAGGCUUAGUAACUUUCAGUGAGUCUGUGAUAGAGAGGAACCUUACCCAUGCACUGGACAUACACAGACCUUAAGGUAAAAGUCUGUCGGCAGCAUUCCUGCUGGAAAUAAACCUCACAAAUGUACCAAGGGUGGCAGAUCUUUAGUGUGCACUCGGCCCUCUAUACACACCAGGCCUAUCGUGACUGUCCAAAAAGGAACCCUGAGAAGCCAAGGCAUUACUUCAUGGAAUGAGGAUCACUACUGUCCUUGCUCCUGGAAGAGAAGGACUCUGCCUAUUAGAAUGCAGUAGUGUCUGCACCAAGGACUGUUUGGAAGGGGCUGAGCAGGAUGUAGAAUUAGUAUGUUGGUCAUCCUGCUUGCUGUGGAUGAGUGGUUUCUCAGGAAUGAUGGUGCCACACACUGAAAUGGUCUUGGAGUCCUCACAGCAUGAGGAGGCUUCCAGGGCAGCAGUGACAUCCUACACUUGUCCAGACAUGGCUGCCUCGUGUUACAGGGGUCCUGGGUGGUGCUGGAGCAAGGGAACCUGCUCAUCUUUGGAAUUCUCAGCUUCUGCCAAAAGAAGGGAGCACUGAGGGUUCAUCAUCAGCUUUCCCAGGUGAGCACCACAGAAAGGGUGUAGUAAGACCUGAACAGUGUCAAUAGUAAACAUCAGAGUGGGUCAGCUCCAGUGCAGCCCUGAGUGUUUACUCCUGACACUCCUGGCCUCUUGGCUAUCAUGGAGUAACUUACAAUUUUUGUCAUGCCAAUAAUUUACCACAUUUUCUGAUGCACAUGUAGGUCCCAUUCUACAGUGUGAUUGUUGAAAAUGUGCUUGAAAUACUGUUCAGACAAAUUAUGUACCAUUUUUAUUGAAUUUCCAUGAAAACUAUUGUUUGGAAAUGUUCAGUA